rnacentral:rRNA from 1 species
UACAGAGGUCUCAAGCGUUGUUCGGAAUCAUUGGGCGUAAAGAGCGUGUAGGCGGCCAGAUAAGUCCGCUGUGAAAUCUCGAGGCUCAACUUCGAGCUGUCGGUGGAAACUGUCUGGCUAGAGUCCGGAAGAGGAGAAUGGAAUUCCUGGUGUAGCGGUGAAAUGCGCAGAUAUCAGGAGGAACACCUAUUGCGAAGGCGGCUCGCUGGGACGUUACUGACGCUGGGACGCGAAAGCGUGGGGAGCAAACAGG